UACGUAGGUGGCAAGCGUUAUCCGGAAUUACUGGGCGUAAAGCGUGCGUAGGUGGUUCGUUAAGUCUGAUGUGAAAGCCCUGGGCUCAACCUGGGAAUUGCAUUGGAUACUGGCGGGCUAGAGUACGGUAGAGGGUGGCGGAAUUCCUGGUGUAGCAGUGAAAUGCGUAGAUAUCAGGAGGAACAUCCGUGGCGAAGGCGGCCACCUGGACCAGUACUGACACUGAGGCACGAAAGCGUGGGGAGCAAACAGGAGUUAGAUACCCU
rnacentral:rRNA from 1 species